GACGAACGCUGGCGGCGUGCCUAAUACAUGCAAGUAGAACGCUGAAGGAGGAGCUUGCUUCUCUGGAUGAGUUGCGAACGGGUGAGUAACGCGUAGGUAACCUGCCUGGUAGCGGGGGAUAACUAUUGGAAACGAUAGCUAAUACCGCAUAAUAGUAGAUGUUGCAUGACAUUUGCUUAAAAGGUGCAAUUGCAUCACUACCAGAUGGACCUGCGUUGUAUUAGCUAGUUGGUGAGGUAACGGCUCACCAAGGCAACGAUACAUAGCCGACCUGAGAGGGUGAUCGGCCACACUGGGACUGAGACACGGCCCAGACUCCUACGGGAGGCAGCAGUAGGGAAUCUUCGGCAAUGGACGGAAGUCUGACCGAGCAACGCCGCGUGAGUGAAGAAGGUUGUCGGAUCGUAAAGCUCUGUUGUAAGAGAAGAACGAGUGUGAGAGUGGAAAGUUCACACUGUGACGGUAUCUUACCAGAAAGGGACGGCUAACUACGUG
rnacentral:rRNA from 1 species